rnacentral:rRNA from 1 species
UACGUAGGCAGCGAGCGUUGUUCGGAGUUACUGGGCGUAAAGGGUGUGUAGGCGGUUGUUUAAGUUUGGUGUGAAAUCUCCCGGCUCAACUGGGAGGGUGCGCCGAAUACUGAAUGACUAGAGUGUGGGAGAGGUGAGUGGAAUUCCUGGUGUAGCGGUGAAAUGCGUAGAUAUACGGAGGAACACCAGAGGCGAAGGCGGAUCGCUGGGCCAACACUGACGCUGAGACGCGAAAGCUAGGGGAGCAAACGGG